CCUACGGGGUGCUGCAGUGGGGAAUAUUGGACAAUGGGCGAAAGCCUGAUCCAGCCAUGCCGCGUGUGUGAAGAAGGCCUUCGGGUUGUAAAGCACUUUCAGUGGGGAAGAAAGCCUUGGGGCUAAUACCCUCGAGGAAGGACAUCACCCACAGAAGAAGCACCGGCUAACUCCGUGCCAGCAGCCGCGGUAAUACGGAGGGUGCGAGCGUUAAUCGGAAUUACUGGGCGUAAAGCGCGCGUAGGCGGUCUGAUAAGCCGGUUGUGAAAGCCCCGGGCUCAACCUGGGAACGGCAUCCGGAACUGGCAGGCUAGAGUGCAGGAGAGGAAGGUAGAAUUCCCGGUGUAGCGGUGAAAUGCGUAGAGAUCGGGAGGAAUACCAGUGGCGAAGGCGGCCUUCUGGACUGACACUGACGCUGAGGUGCGAAAGCGUGGGUAGCAAACAGGAUUAGAUACCCCGGGUAGUC
rnacentral:rRNA from 1 species